rnacentral:tRNA from 1 species
GUUUAGGUAGCUUAACAUAGAGCAUGGUGCUGAAGAUGCCAGGGUAACUUUAGUUUCUAAACA